rnacentral:lncRNA from 1 species
CAUGUACAUGUAAUGCAUUCUGGAUAAUAAUCUAAAUGCAUACACACAUUUAAUGACUUAAGGAAAAGGUAAUGCUACAGUGUACAUGUAUUACAUAACAUUUAACAUUAAAUUGAAACUCAAUGCUGACCUUUCAAUCAUGAAAAUUAAGACAAGGUCAGAUGAAUGUGCCAGGCAGACGUGUUCACCAUACAAUCCUUUGAUACACCAAAUAUAAUUGAGAAACAGACCAAAAAGUUAACAUACUGUAGAUCUAUGAAC